rnacentral:misc_RNA from 1 species
AUAGAAGAAGGAAUGCGUGUUGGGUAGGUUAUCUUUCUACAUUCUAAAUUAGAAUUUUCACAGCACACUGAGACUUCAGAGCAUGACUUAUGUUAUAUGGGUAUUGAUACAUGUUCUACCAUUUUGUGUCAUUUUCUUCUCCACAAUGGCCAGUGCUGUUAUUCUUCAUCCAUUUGUUUAUGUAUAUAUUUUUUUUCGUUGAUAAUAUUCGUAUGCAUUCCACUGGUUUGAUGUCCA